CCACUUUGAUUUGAUCAAUUUGGGUGUGUCCAUUAAUUAGAGGACCUUUGAUUUUCAUAUGGGGUGUCUCUUAGGUGCAAAAGAAGAUGUCUAAUUAUGGGUGCAAAGGCUCCAAUAGUUGGUGCCUAAUGGGCUUCCUAAUGUAAGUUGGAUAACUUAAGUUAAUAGGAAUCCUAAUGUAAGUAGGACUUGUAUUGUAUGAUUGAAUAGGAUUCAAUCCUUAUGCUUAUUUAAAGGAAUCUCCCCUAAGAUCUCUAGAGCAUCAAAAUCAAUAGCCCCUCACACUCA
rnacentral:lncRNA from 1 species